ACUCCUACGGGAGGCAGCAGUGGGGAAUCUUGGACAAUGGGCGCAAGCCUGAUCCAGCCAUGCCGCGUGAGUGAUGAAGGCCCUAGGUCGUAAAGCUCUUUCGCCAGGGAUGAUAAUGACAGUACCUGGUAAAGAAACCCCGGCUAACUCCGUGCCAGCAGCCGCGGUAAUACGGAGGGGUUAGCGUUGUUCGGAAUUACUGGGGCGUAAAGCGCGCGUAGGCGGAUUAGUCAGUUAGAGGUGAAAUCCCAGGGCUCAACCCUGGAACUGCCUUUAAUACUGCUAGUCUUGAGUUCGAGAGAGGUGAGUGGAAUUCCGAGUGUAGAGGUGAAAUUCGUAGAUAUUCGGAGGAACACCAGUGGCGAAGGCGGCUCACUGGCUCGAUACUGACGCUGAGGUGCGAAAGUGUGGGGGAGCAAACAGGAUUAGAUACCCUGGUAGCGACUGA
rnacentral:rRNA from 1 species